rnacentral:rRNA from 1 species
AGUGAACGCUGGCGGUAGGCCUAACACAUGCAAGUCGAACGGCAGCACAGUAAGAGCUUGCUCUUACGGGUGGCGAGUGGCGGACGGGUGAGGAAUACAUCGGAGUCUACUUUUUCGUGGGGGAUAACGUAGGGAAACUUACGCUAAUACCGCAUACGACCUACGGGUGAAAGCAGGGGAUCUUCGGACCUUGCGCGAUUGAAUGAGCCGAUGUCGGAUUAGCUAGUUGGCGGGGUAAAGGCCCACCAAGGCGACGAUCCGUAGCUGGUCUGAGAGGAUGGUCAGCCACACUGGAACUGAGACACGGUCCAGACUCCUACGGGAGGCAGCAGUGGGGAAUAUUGGACAAUGGGCGCAAGCCUGAUCCAGCCAUACCGCGUGGGUGAAGAAGGCCUUCGGGUUGUAAAGCCCCUUUGUUGGGAAAGAAAAGCAGCAGGUUAAUACCCCGCUGUUCUGACGGUACCCAAAGAAUAAGCACCGGCUAACUUCGUG